UCCACCCUAGAAAUCAAGCUCUAGAUUCAAAAUUCAAAACCCCUCAUCUGAGUCUCUCUUUCUCCCUAAAAUAUCUGCGAGAACCCACCCUCCCGCUUAGGGAUAUUCCUAGAAAACCCUGGCUCAUUCGAAAGCUAGGUUAAAGCUGAAUCUAAUGGUUUCAAGGCUAAAGUUGCUUUAGUUCGUGAUAGAGAACUAGCCUAACAUCAUGUUAAUUGCUUCCUCCUUAACAUGCAAAAAAGUUACUGUUGUCGUUAUUUAAUUCCAUACUAAUGCUAGCUAAUUUCUGUUUUUUUAUUAAUUCCAUCUGUUGCAUCAGAUAUUUGAUCUUCUAUGCUUCUGGUUAAAAUUAGGGUUAUUAGUUUGUGGAUUUUGAAGUUACUAUUUGUGGUUUGAAGAGACCGAAAAACAGGAGCUAAAGCUCGAUUUGUGGUCGGAUCUCACAUAACCACCCCUAAUCUCAUCGUCGGUGUUACUCAAGUCUUCCGCUACAAGACGCGUCUUUUAAUUGCACACUUUCCGAUCCACGGCAACAUAACUAACAAUACCUGAGCGAUUGAGAUUCAUAACGUUCUUGACAAAUAAGAACCCAAAGAUGCGUCAGGUUUUUGCGUAGAUGCGUCAAAGAAGAGAUUGGGUUGAUAGGCAGGUUCUUGAUCUAGAAACUGUUGGCAAAGAUGGAGUUUUGGGGCAGUGAUAUAAAAGGAAGCAUUCAUAGCGAUCCUUCUGAUGCUUGGACAUAUAGAGCAAAAGUAUGCGUUAAGUUAUCGCCCGUGUUGAUCUUUUUACCAAGCAUAAUGUUGUAAAUCCUGCUGCAAUCAUUUCUGUGGGUUCUGCAAAUUAUGUUGCUGCUGGUAUGCGGUUUUGUUUUGUGUGGUGAUGGUGGCUGAGCUACAACAGAGGCAGCAGAGACUAAAGCAAGAACAUCAAAGACGCCGCCAGGAGAUGAUGUCUGCGCUCAGAUGCAUAGCGAGAUAUUUAGCUAUCCCUGGUUUCCUACAACAACAACAUUUGAGGGACGGUGAUUCAGAAUAUUAGGAUCCAGGCCUAAUCACAACACUUGUUUUGUAUCUGGUUGUAGUUUUUGAGUCACUUUUGUACAAACCAUGUUUAGGUUGAUGCUAUGCUUAGAAAUAAAUUGAUGAUACAGAUGCAAAGAUUGAUGAUCCUUAAUAGGUUGGUGUUUUUUUUUUGGUCAUUACCUAAUCACGCUGGAAGUUGCUCAGAUGAUUUCUUUAACUUUUCCUCUGUUUUAAAGAUAUCUAGAGCACUAAU